rnacentral:rRNA from 1 species
GGGGAAUAUUGCACAAUGGGGGAAACCUUGAUGCAGCAACGCCGCGUGAGUGAAGGAGGCCUUCGGGUUGUAAAGCUCUGUUAUACGGGAAGAUAAUGACUGUACCGUAUGAGGAAGCCACGGCUAACUACGUGCCAGCAGCCGCGGUAAUACGUAGGUGGCGAGCGUUGUCCGGAUUUACUGGGCGUAAAGGAUGCGUAGGCGGAUAAUUAAGUGAGAUGUGAAAUACCCGGGCUUAACCUGGGGGGUGCAUUUCAAACUGGUUGUCUAGAGUACAGGAGAGGAAAGUGGAAUUUCUAGUGUAGCGGUGAAAUGCGUAGAUAUUAGGAAGAACACCAGUGGCGAAGGCGGCUUUCUGGACUGUUACAGACGCUGAGGCAUGAAAGCAUGGGUAGCGAAC